GGUUAUCGGCCUCCCUUUGUCCUUGAGCCUGCUCUGUCCAUGCUGCCACAGCACUUAAGUAGAAGUUUGUUUGACCACUGAAACCACAAAGAAGAUCUAGAGACUUAGAAUUGUUUGUCUACUUUAAAGGACACAUAUGAGAAGCUGAAGCAAUUCCUCACUCCUUGUGUAACAUAUUGGAUGCAUAAAUUAAUGUAAGUUGAUCCCUGUUAGCUUUAAUUUAAUCGUGAUAUGUGCGUG